rnacentral:rRNA from 1 species
GACCCGGCGCAAAGGUCCGCCUUUUUGGUGUUGCACUUUUGCGCAGGGCCUUACCUCUUGGUGAACGGGUGUGUCCUUUAUUGGGUGCGCUCGGGAACCAGGACCUUUACCUUGAGAAAAUUAGAGUGUUUAAAGCAGGCUUACGCUUGAAUACAUUAGCAUGGAAUAAUAGAAUAGGAC